rnacentral:rRNA from 1 species
AUUGAACGCUGGCGGGAUGCUUAACACAUGCAAGUCGAACGGUAACAGACUCUAGCUUGCUAGACUGCUGACGAGUGGCGGACGGGUGCGUAACGCGUAGGAAUCUGUCUAAGUGUCUGGGACAACACGGGGACACUCGAUCUAAUACCGGAGAAUCUUAGCGAAGGAAAGAUGGGGACGAGCCUGUCGCACAUAGGGGAGCGUGCGUCAGAUUAGCUAGUUGGUGGGGUAAAGGCCUACCAAGGCGACGAUCUAUAGCUUUUAUGAGAGGAAGACCGGCCACACUGGGACUGAGACACGGCCCAGACUCCUACGGGAGGCAGCAGUGGGGAAUAUUGGACAAUGGGGGCAACCCUGAUCCAGCAAUACCGCGUGUGUGAAGAAGGCCUGAGGGUUGUAAAGCACUUUCGGCGAGGAGGAAGGGUAUAUGGUUAAUACCCAUAUAUUUUGACGUUACUCGAAGAAGAAGCACCGGCUAACUCUGUGCCAGCCGCCGCCGUAA